rnacentral:rRNA from 1 species
CCUACGGGAGGCAGCAGUGAGGAAUCUUGGUCAAUGGGCGCGAGCCUGAACCAGCCAAGUAGCGUGAAGGAUGGCUGCCCUACGGGUUGUAAACUUCUUUUAUAAAGGAAUAAAGUGAGGCACGUGUGCCUUUUUGUGUGUACUUUAUGAAUAAUGAUCGGCUAACUCCGUGCCAGCAGCCGCGGUAAUACGGAGGAUCCGAGCGUUGUCCGGAUUUAUUGGGUUUAAGGGGAGCGUAGAUGGGUUGUUAAGUCAGUUGUGAAAGUUUGCGGCUCAACCGUAAAAUUGCAAUUGAUACUGGCAGUCUUGAGUACAGUUGAGGUAGGCGGAAUUCGUGGUGUAGCAGUGAAAUGCUUAGAUAUCACGAAGAACUCCGAUUGCGAAGGCAGCUUACUAAACUGCCACUGACAUUGAUGCUCGAAAGUGUGGGUAUCAAACAGGAUUAGAUACCCCUGUAGUC